GAUGAAGAACGCAGCGAAAUGCGAUAAGUAACGUGAAUUGCAGAAUUCAGUGAAUCAUCGAAUCUUUGAACGCACAUUGCGCCCCCUGGUAUUCCGGGGGGCAUGCCUGUUCGAGCGUCAUUUCACCACUCAAGCCUCGCUUGGUAUUGGGCAACGCGGUCCGCCGCGUGCCUCAAAUCGACCGGCUGGGUCUUCUGUCCCCUAAGCGUUGUGGAAACUAUUCGCUAAAGGGUGUUCGGGAGGCUACGCCGUAAAACAACCCCAUUUCUAAGGUUGACCUCGGAUCAGGUAGGGAUACCCGCUGAACUUAAGCAUAUCAAUAAGCGGAGGA
rnacentral:misc_RNA from 1 species